CGCGGUGAUUGGUUACUGAAACUGGGACCGUCCCCCGCGCUGGACCUAGAGACAUGAGGGACCCCACAGAGGGGGAAAAAACCUCAGUUUAAAGUGGGAAACCGGACCUUUUGGCCCCAGGUUGUCCCAACUUCAGUGCUGAAAAAGGAUACAAGUUUUAGGGUGCAGAUUUGAAUGAUUUCCUCCCCCAAAUAUAGACCCUGAAACAAAGAACAAAUAACGUUCAUUUAUAGCCUUUGAGUGCCUCUAUGUGCCAGGAACGGUGUGCUGUUAAAUAUGAAAUUAAUUCAUGCUAACCAAGUGUAUGAAUCGGUUAUUACCAGGCUGGGGUUUUUAGCCAGGUGUUCUAAAAUCUUUUUGAUGAUACAAACUUACUGGCGGUGAGACAAAUACAUGUGGGCUGGAUAAUAGUGGAAAUUAUGGCGGGAGGAAUUUUUGCAUUCAUUUUUGUCAGAGUCCUCUUCUGUCAUCAGAUACCUUCUUGCUCUUCCGUGCUCUUAGCUUCAGGACUCCACCAGAGCUGUCCUUUCUGAAACAUUCUUUCAAAAAUCACUUUCCCUCCAACCCGACAAAAGGCCUAUUUACUAAUCAGGGAUGGUUUUUGCAAGCUAAAACCUUGCAGAUCUGUACAGAUCUGUGAAAUCUGCAGUUUCUAGGGACUCUCUUCUCCCUUUCACCUGGCUCAGUUUUUCUGUUUGAAAAAGACAACCCAUCAGUCCAUGUUGUUCUGACUUUCCUUCCCACAGCUUGGUUCCAGCCAGGUUCCUUCCUCCUUCCCAGACAGGUUCUCUGGCCUCUAUGUCUCCGUUCUCUGUGCCUUUAUUCAUACUGUUCCCUCUGCUGAAAUGCUCUUCCCUUCACCUUCAUCCUGUCUACACUCAGUCAUCCUCCAAUAAUGGAUCUUACUUCUACCACAAGAUACUUAUCCCUGUGCGGGUUUUAUCGCCACUAUCCAUGGGGAGCUACUGGAGUCAAGGAUCUUGUCUUGGUCAUCGCUGUAUCCCCUCUCAUGCCGGGAGACAGUGACAUUGCCCGGUGUCAAAAGAGUUUGUUAAGAGAAUGAAAUGCUUAAAUCUUUAAUUGGUGGGAUUUGGAGAAGGUACUUGAGACAGACUGGUCUCUUACUGAGCUCCAAAUCUAGUAAAUUGCUGUGACUCUGAGUGACACUCACCUGAUUUGAAUUUGUCUUUGUUAAUGUCCUGUAGAGCUUUGUAACUAGUCCUCCAGCUAACCUUCAUAUCUCCAGACCUUCUCCCUCAGCCCAUUCUGCCUACCCUCAUCUAUAAAGCACAGUGACCUUCUAUACAAAUAGAAAUCUUG
rnacentral:lncRNA from 1 species